rnacentral:rRNA from 1 species
GAUCCUGGCUCAGGACGAACGCUGGCGGCGUGCCUAACACAUGCAAGUCGAACGGAGUGUUGCGCUGAAAUUGAGAUUAGCUUGCUAAAGGAUAUUUCUUGCAACACUUAGUGGCGGACGGGUGAGUAACGCGUGAGGAACCUGCCUUACAGAGGGGGACAACAGUUGGAAACGACUGCUAAUACCGCAUGAUGUUUCGAGAGGACAUCCUCUUGAAACCAAAGGAGCAAUCCG